GACAGAGGGUGCUAGCGUUGUUCGGAAUUACUGGGCGUAAAGCGUGUGUAGGCGGCCUCGCAAGUCGGAUGUGAAAGCCCUGGGCUCAACCCAGGAAGUGCACUCGAUACUGCUUGGCUUGAGUCUCGGAGAGGUUGGUGGAAUUCUCGGUGUAGAGGUGAAAUUCGUAGAUAUCGAGAGGAACACCGGUGGCGAAGGCGGCCAACUGGACGAAGACUGACGCUGAGACACGAAAGCGUGGGGAGCAAACAGG
rnacentral:rRNA from 1 species